CUACGGGGUGCUGCAGUCGAGAAGCUUCCGCAAUGGGGGAAACCCUGACGGAGCGACGCCGCGUGAGCGAAGAAGGUCCUAUGGAUUGUAAAGCUCUGUCAGAUUGGGAAGAAAAGUCUACGGUUAAUACCCGUAGGCCUUGACGGUACCAUCAGAGGAAGCACCGGCUAACUCCGUGCCAGCAGCCGCGGUAAUACGGAGGGUGCAAGCGUUGUUCGGAUUCACUGGGUAUAAAGGGUGCGCAGGCGGCCUGAUAAGCCAGGGGUGAAAUAUGACGGCUCAACCGUCAAACUGCCCCUGAAACUGUCAGGCUUGAGUCCGGGAGAGGAAGGUGGAAUUCCUGGUGUAGCGGUGAAAUGCGUAAAUAUCAGGAGGAACACCGGUGGCGAAGGCGGCCUUCUGGCCCGGUACUGACGCUCAGGCACGAAAGCAUGGGGAGCGAACGGGAUUAGAUACCCCAGUAGUC
rnacentral:rRNA from 1 species